GACGGAGGAUGCAAGCGUUAUCCGGAAUGAUUGGGCGUAAAGCGUCCGCAGGUGGCAGUUCAAGUCUGCUGUCAAAGACCGGGGCUUAACUUCGGAAAGGCAGUGGAAACUGAACAGCUAGAGUAUGGUAGGGGCAGAGGGAAUUCCUGGUGUAGCGGUGAAAUGCGUAGAGAUCAGGAAGAACAUCGGUGGCGAAGGCGCUCUGCUGGACCAUAACUGACACUCAACAACGAAAGCGUGGGGAGCAAACAGG
rnacentral:rRNA from 1 species